rnacentral:rRNA from 1 species
UACGUAGGGUGCGAGCGUUAAUCGGAAUUACUGGGCGUAAAGCGUGCGCAGGCGGCUUUGCAAGACAGAUGUGAACUCCCCGGGCUCAACCUGGGAACUGCUUUCAAAACUGCUGAGCUAGAGUACGGCAGAGGGGGAUGGAAUUCCGCGUGUAGCAGUGAAAUGCGUAGAUAUGCGGAGGAACACCAAUGGCGAAGGCAAUCCCCUGGGCCUGUACUGACGCUCAUGCACGAAAGCGUGGGGAGCAAACAGG